rnacentral:rRNA from 1 species
AGAGUUUGAUCCUGGCUCAGGAUGAACGCUGGCGGCGUGCUUAACACAUGCAAGUCGAAUGAAGCAUUUAAGAUGGAGUCUUCGGACAAAGCCUUUUAUGACUUAGUGGCGGACGGGUGAGUAACGCGUGGGUAACCUGCCUUAUGCAGGGGGAUAACAGUUGGAAACGACUGCUAAUACCGCAUAAGCGCACAGUACCGCAUGGUACAGUGUGAAAAACUCCGGUGGCAUACGAUGGACCCGCGUCUGAUUAGCUGGUUGGUGAGGUAACGGCCCACCAAGGCGACGAUCAGUAGCCGGCCUGAGAGGGUGAACGGCCACAUUGGGACUGAGACACGGCCCAAACUCCUACGGGAGGCAGCAGUGGGGAAUAUUGCACAAUAGGGGAAACCCUGAUGCAGCGACGCCGCGUGAGUGAAGAAGUAUUUCGGUAUGUAAAGCUCUAUCAGCAGGGAAGAAAAUGACGGUACCUGACUAAGAAGCCCCGGCUAACUACGUGCCAGCAGCCGCGGUAAUACGUAGGGGGCAAGCGUUAUCCGGAUUUACUGGGUGUAAAGGGAGCGUAGACGGUAAUCCAAGUCUGAAGUGAAAGCCCGGGGCUCAACCCCGGAACUACUUUGGAAACUGGAUAACUAGAGUGCAGGAGAGGUAAGUGGAAUUCCUAGUGUAGCGGUGAAAUGCGUAGAUAUUAGGAGGAACACCAGUGGCGAAGGCGGCUUGCUGGACGACAACUGACGCUGAGGCGCGAAAGCGUGGGGAGCAAACAGGAUUAGAUACCCUGGUAGUCCACGCUGUAAACGAUGAAUACUAGGUGUGGGAGGACUGACCCCUUCCGUGCCGCAGUUAACACAAUAAGUAUUCCACCUGGGGAGUACGGCCGCAAGGUUGAAACUCAAAGGAAUUGACGGGGGCCCGUACAAGCAGUGGAUUAUGUGGUUUAAUUCGACGCAACGCGAAGAACCUUACCAGGGUUUGACAUCCAACUAACGAAGUAGAGAUACAUUAGGUGCCCUUCGGGGAAAGUUGAGACAGGUGGUGCAUGGUUGUCGUCAGCUCGUGUCGUGAGAUGUUGGGUUAAGUCCCGCAACGAGCGGAACCCUCGUCGCAUGUUGCCAGCGGUUCGGCCGGGCACCCAUGCGAGACCGCCGGCGUCAAGCCGGAGGAAGGUGGGGACGACGUCAAGUCAUCAUGCCCCUUAUGUCCUGGGCUGCACACGUGCUACAAUGGCUGGGACAGUGGGCUGCCACUGCGCGAGCAGGAGCGAAUCCCAAAACCCAGCCCCAGUUCGGAUUGGAGGCUGCAACCCGCCUCCAUGAAGUCGGAGUUGCUAGUAAUCGCGGAUCAGCACGCCGCGGUGAAUGCGUUCCCGGGCCUUGCACACACCGCCCGUCA